rnacentral:rRNA from 1 species
AUAGUAGCGGCGAGCGAACUUGGAAGAGGGCAAACCAGAUGCUUGCAUCUGGGGUUGUAGGACUGCGUUGUAGAAUUUCAAAUCAUAGUAGAGUAACCUGGAAAGGUUAACCAUAGCGGGUGAUAGUCCCAUAUACGAAAUGAUGCGAGAUCUUAGCAGUAUCCUGAGUAGGGGCGGAACACGUGGUAUUCUGUCUGAAGCCGGGAGGACCACCUCCCAACCCUAAAUACUACUUACAGACCGAUAGUGAACCAGUACCGUGAGGGAAAGGUGAAAAGAACCCCAGUGAGGGGAGUGAAAUAGAACCUGAAACCAUUUGCUUACAAUCAUUCAGAGCCCUAUGAUUUAUCAGGGUGAUGGACUGCCUUUUGCAUAAUGAGCCUGCGAGUUGUGGUAUCUGGCGAGGUUAAGAAAACUCGGAGCCGUAGCGAAAGCGAGUCUUAAUAGGGCG